rnacentral:rRNA from 1 species
AGUGAACGCUGGCGGUAGGCCUAACACAUGCAAGUCGAACGGAAGCACAGUAAGAGCGUGCUCUUACGGGUGGCGAGUGGCGGGCGGGUAAGGAGUGCAUAGGCAUCUACUUUUUCGUGGGGGAUAACGGAGGGAAGCAUACGCUACUAGCGCAUACGUUCUACGGGAUAAAUCAGUAGAUCUUCGCGCCUUUCGCGUUUGAAAUAGCCGAUGUCGGAUUAGCUAGUUGGUGUGGUAAAGGCUUACCAAGGCGACGAUACGUAGCCGAUCUGAGAGGAUGAUCGGCCACACUGGAACUGAGACACGGUCCAGACUCCUACGGGAGGCAGCAGUAGGGAAUAUUGGACAAUGGGCGAAAGCCUGACCCAGCAAUACCGCGUGAGUGAAGAAGGUCUUCGGGUUGUAAAGCCCUUUUGUUGGGAAAGAACAGCAGCAGGUUAAUCCCCCGCUGUUCUGACGGUACCCAAAGAAUAAGCACCGGCUAACUUCGUG